rnacentral:rRNA from 1 species
UACAGAGGUCUCAAGCGUUGUCCGGAUUCAUUGGGCGUAAAGGGUGCGUAGGUGGCGCCGUAAGUCAGGUGUGAAAUUUCGGAGCUUAACUCCGAAACUGCAUUUGAUACUGCGGUGCUUGAGGACUGGAGAGGAGACUGGAAUUCACGGUGUAGCAGUGAAAUGCGUAGAUAUCGAGAGGAACACCUGCGGCGAAGGCGGGUAGCUGGGCCGACACUGACGCUGAGGCGCGAAAGCCAGGGGAGCGAACGGG